rnacentral:rRNA from 1 species
GACGAACGCUGGCGGCGUGCUUAACACAUGCAAGUCGAACGGUGAAGGGACCGGUUUUUGCUGGUUCUGGAUGAGUGGCGAACGGGUGAGUAACACGUGAGUAACCUGCCCCCUUCUUCUGGAUAACCGCAUGAAAGUGUGGCUAAUACGGGAUAUUCUGCGCCUGCUGCAUGGUGGGUGUGGGAAAGAUAUUGUUUCGGUGGGGGAUGGGCUCGCGGCCUAUCAGCUUGUUGGUGGGGUGAUGGCCUACCAAGGCGGUGACGGGUAGCCGGACUGAGAGGGUGGACGGUCACACUGGGACUGAGACACGGCCCAGACUCCUACGGGAGGCAGCAGUGGGGAAUAUUGCACAAUGGGCGCAAGCCUGAUGCAGCGACGCCGCGUGAGGGAUGGAGGCCUUCGGGUUGUAAACCUCUUUCGCCAGUGAAGCAGGCCUGUCCCUUUUGUGGGUGGGUUGACGGUAGCUGGAUAAGAAGCGCCGGCUAACUACGUG